rnacentral:rRNA from 1 species
AUACGGAGGGUGCGAGCGUUAAUCGGAAUUACUGGGCGUAAAGCGCGCGUAGGCGGUUUGGUAAGUCGGAUGUGAAAGCCCCGGGCUCAACCUGGGAAUUGCAUUCGAUACUGCAGAGCUAGAGUAUGGUAGAGGGAAGUGGAAUUUCCGGUGUAGCGGUGAAAUGCGUAGAUAUCGGAAGGAACACCAGUGGCGAAGGCGACUUCCUGGGCCAAUACUGACGCUGAGGUGCGAAAGCGUGGGGAGCAAACAGGAUUAGAAACCCCGGUAGUCC